GUUUAGUCACAAUGUGGGGAAAAGAAGAAAAACAAAAAUAUCAGCCAAAGGAAAGAAAAGACCAUAUACAUGAAAAUUGCAAAUUGGCUGCUUAAAAUUCAGUGAUCAUCUGGAAAUGGACAUUUUCUAACAGGUUCAUGUAUCAACAAUUAUUUUCAAUCUGGAAAUCUGAUACAAGCGGAGGCCUUUACUUCCCUACAUUACUUGAAGUCUAAGAUUUUUCAGCUUGCUGCUUCAUUUGCAACCAACGCUGCAAUGCAAGAGAUGGACUGUUGGAUGGAUGGGCUGUCAUUAUCUUAAUUAAACCUGAUGGACAGUACCAAACUACUGACAUCGAUAGAGUUAAAGCCACUUAACCUGCAGUCAGACUGAAAAUGAAUGUAUUUCUAUUCACAGCAAGCAAUAGUUGAAACUCUGAAUAAAACAAAUGUUCAUGCUUUUAUUAUUUAUUAUUGAUUUAUGACUGCUUUUUGAAACAUUGGUAAUAAUAGUAACCAUAUCCUUUAUUAAAAAGGAGCUGAGUGUCCCCACAAGUACCAUGAUAAUUAAACAAACAUGCCUUUUUAUGUUAUCUAAGCUGCACGUUUCACACAGGCCAGCCUCCAGUUAGCUAUUAUUAUUUAAUUUUUAAUUUCCGUCCACAUUGUUGCUUUUAAGGCACUCAUCUAAAUAUCAAUUGGUACGGGAAGCCCAACUGCAGGGGACUUUGAAACACUCCGACAAGUAGGCUAAUUCCAGUAAAGCCAUAGUAAUUCCGAUUAGCUCUAAACCUUAUUUCAGUUUCCUUAUAACGACAAGAUGGGAAGUUUUCCACACGGAAUUCCCCUGUUUGAAGAAAGCAUUUAAGUCCCCAGACGUCCACAAUUGCGCCAGUCGCUCGACGCAGAGCGCAAGGAGACGGAUGCGCGCGUUCCCGAAAGAAGAGUCGCGAGCAUUUGAGGACAUCCAUCAGAUUGUGACAUCGUCGGCGAGAAAAAUGCAACACUUGAAACUGACGUAACCUAGGCACCCAUCAAACAAGCUUAAGAUAAUUUCCCGGCAACAUCUGUCUUUCUUCCUGCUGUGUGAUGAGUCAUUUAGGAAGUAUGUGUGAGCUGUUCCGACAUAAAGAUCAUUAACGGUUUUUUAAAUUACUUUAUUGUUGCCUGUAGUUAUAACCUGUCCCCAAAUAGAAGCUCUUCCUCGCCUUUACUUGUAACUUUUUACUGCAUAUUGCAUAUUUAAAGGCACGUGUGACAAAUGAUCCUGCAUAACCUCUGUGAGGUGUUUUUUCAGGCAUGCGGUUUUUCAGGAAUGCUGUCAAGUCACACAUGCAGUACUCUAUGUACAUGUUCUUUUUAUGAAAAGUACAAACCAUUUAAGAAAACUUCUGAGACAGUUGCCCCCAUUAUUUUUUUACUGUGAUUAAAACCUACUGUUUAGCCAGUUUACUGAAUUAGAAAUUAAACAUGCGUGAAAGCUUGGAUUGCUAGACAGUUCUGCAUACCAGAGCAGAAGUUUGUUUCCUGUUUGCACAAUUUAUUCAGAUUUUAAAUGUGAAUAAAGUGUAAAAAAAUAUCUUUCUUUGAUGUUUUGUGUACCGUAACCUUGCAUGUUAGAUAUCACACAUAGAUAUUUUUGUUUAGAUAAUUGCCAGAAUUUGAGUGAAGAUAAAGCCUAUUUAUGGUACAUCUUAAAACAAAUGCACUGUAAAAAAAAGAUAUAAUAGGUAAAUAAAGAAAAAAAAACAUGGGACAAUAAAAUAAUACCAAAUUAAAUUACAAAUAGGUCAAUAAUAAGUAAAAUAUGUAAGUCAACCUGAAAAAAUCAUACUUUUAUAAGAAAGAAGAUUACAGCUUAAAACUACACUUGGGAAUAAAUGUUAUAAGACAAAGAAUCUGAACCGUCGAUACAUUAUUAAAAGACAUACAGAUCUAAUAAAUUGUUAUAGUUUUGUUUUGACGGCACAAACAGAAUUACUUUUUUAAAUAAAAUUGCAGGCAUUCUAGUGUAUACGUAAAAUACAUUUUUCAUUAUAUCAAUUAUUGCUGUUCUUGCUUUUUGUAGAUGCAGGAAAUGAGACAUGUUGCCCUUUUAAUAGGUCAAUUGAUUUGCUAGCAGUUUGAAGACAUUAGUGAUGCAAGUUAGAAGACAUACUGUAGCGUGGUUAAUAAUCUCCUUACGGUCACACUAGUGUCCAUCUUUUUUAGAAGAACCAUCAUUUUUAUCUGGACUUGUUUUUAAGGGAGGUUCUGUUGUCCAUUAAUUCAAAAGCAAUAUCUGUUACUUCUUAGUUACAUUUUGGUAAAUUUCAAAUGUGUUACUUUCAAGUUAUUUCAGGGAUGAUUGUGGGCUUUUCAUGUCAUUAGAUAAAGGCUACCAAUAAGUCUGUCUACAUCUGUUUACUCAUCAAUGACAGCUUUGAAAUAGAUCUUAUGAUCCAGGUCUCUUGUAUCAGGUAGCUGGUUUAUUAAGAUGUUCGAGUUUAAAAUAUGAACCUAUAAAAAUGAAUUUGGGCCCGAGUGGGUCAUAUUGAAUCAUAUUUGAAACCCCUGGCUAAGAAAAAAUGCAAAAAAUCCUGAUGUGAUCAUUGAUGUCUGUAGUAAUGACAAUGUUAAUGUUGCUUCUGUGAUUUUACAAAGGCAAUGCCAUGUGCAUUGUUCUUGUCUAGUCACUAGCAAACUGCUGUUUGCUAGUGACUAGAAUACAAUCUAGGCUGUAUCAGCCAUUGGAAAAGCCCCGGUCUUCUCAGGUUAAAUGGCAUUUAUUGAACAACUUAAAUUUCAUUAAUAUGGACCCUCCUUUCAAUUCCCAAUUGUCUUAUAAUCACAAAAUCAUAAUUGACACAGAGCAAAAAUAAAAGGAUCAAAACAAAACAAAAAACAAAAGGGAUAAUAAAGGGAAUAAGAAAGAAAUUUCACUUGGUCAAGAAGAUCUGUCUUAUUAAAACCACUGUCAAUCAGAAACCUGGCUGCAGUAGGGAGAAUACGCUAUUUCAAUUUAAACAAUCCCCAAAAACUGUCAGAAGAAGAAGAUAGCUGUCACAAAACAGGCAGAGGGCUGGUUCCAAAUGCAGCAGGUUUAUUAGCUCAGUUAAAAGUUCACAAAGCUAAAUCAGGGACAGGCAGGCAGGGAUCAAUAACGAGCAUGGGAGCAUCAGAAAGGAAACCAGAGUUGUCAGGAUCUAGGUGAGAUUUGGGGCAGGGGGCAGGCAAAUGGUGUCAAAGAUGAAACAGGGUCAGGAAAUCAGAAGAUCAGGUCUGGAAAUAACGCUUGGUAAUGCAGGCAGAUUGACACAAAGAAUACUUUGCACUGAGUGAGGCUCAGUGCAGUACUUAAGUAUGCUGUGAGUGCUUGCAAAUGAGUCAGGUGUGUGGCAGGGAAUGCUGGGAGAUGAAGUGCACUCAGAUGGUGACUUCUGACAUUAGCUCUAGCUUGAACAAAUGUAUAUGUCAGACAAAUCAAACAGAUAGUUAUGUUUUUUGUUUGGCAUUGUCCUCUUAAAGUUAAAGUUCAAUUAGUUGUCACACACCUGUGAAAUUUGUUCACAGGUGACUCAUCUGUGACUGAUCCCCUGGGCGAGCGGUGAGCUGCAGACACAGUGGUGGUUUAACCUCCAAAUCUAACGGUGGUGAGUGUCAAGCAGGGGGGGUCCCAUUUUUUUCCGUCUUUAGUAUGACUCAACCAUGUUUUUGAACUCAUGACCUCACACUCUCAGGGUGAACACUGUACCACAAGGCCACAGAGCCUUUUGGCCCUUAUUCUGUGUUCAUUCUCUGAUUUCUAUUGAUCGGAAAAUGUGUUAAAAUAAGAUUAAAUAAUUACAAAUAAUUAUAAUGGGGGACAGUGUGCUGAUUAAUAAGAAAGUCCUUCAACAUGCUAACACUUCUUAUUACUUUAAGUACUGUGGGUAGAUUGACUGAAAGUCAAAGUUUUGUUGAGACAUGUAUUCCUUAUGAUCUCAGAAGUUCCGACUUCACAAAGCUCUCAACAAAUUUAAAAAAAUGCUAUCAGAUAAAACAUUCAGGGCAACCUAUCAACUGUUGCUGAUAGUUUAUCAGGCUCUAUGGCUUCAAUGAUUGCUGAUCCGAAUAGCUCUUAAGUUACUUCAUCUGUCUUGAGCUUUCAGAGGUGGCGUCCAAAACUACCCCCAUAAAUCUUAAACUUGUCUCUUGGAUCCAAUUCAACUCCAUUGCCUACAGAAAUGUUCACUGUAAUUAAGAUGUAUUUUUUUUAAACCUGAUAAGCAUGUCGUCAUUGACAUAAAUAUUCCUCAGGACUUUAAGUUUGCUGAAAUUAAACCUUUAAUAUUUUGUCUAUUCUUGAUAAACACAUUUUAGCUAAUAACAUGCCUGUAUUAAAUUGCAUCUUUCUUUUUUAAGUUACUUUAGAAAACCGUUCAAAUCAACUAAUUAAGCAUUUCAAUAGAAAAUGAUGUAUUUGAAAAGUUUCAGUCAGGAGUUCUUCGUAGCACUGAAAUACCUAUGCUGAGGUCAACCAAAAAUCUCCUAAUGGCUGUGAAUAAUGAAUUUUUGUCUGUAGUUGCUCUUUUAGACCUCAGCACUGCAAUUGAAAUGAUCAGUCAUAAUAUUUUGCUUUUGCUUUAGGCUGGUUGUUUUUAUCUGAUGUAUUCCUGUUUGUCCAUAUCAACAAUGAGUCUUCCUAAUUCAGCAGAGUCAUGGUGUAUCACAGGGUUCUGUGGUUGGUCUCUCUUUUUGCUUCCAUUAGGUAACAUUAUUAGGCAGCACAGCAUAUAUUUUCAUGUUAUGCUGAUGAUACUCCGCCAUGUUACACUGCUGAUGUAAUAGAUGUCUACUAGUUCAAAGACUUAAGCAGGUCUUAAACGAUUGAAAGACUUGGAGGACUUAUAAUUUUCUUUUAUUAAACUUUUGGUAAACCUAGAUAAAAAAACAGAUUAAUUUUCUUGGAUUUGAGCACUUCUAAAAAAAAUCUGUGUUUUUGUUCAGUUAGGCCAACGAUUCUGCAUUUCAGCGUCCCAUAAACCCUCCAACUCCCCUCCCACCGCCCCCACUUAUCUGCACACAUACCCUCAGCUCCAAAAACACAAGUCUCUAUUAUCCCAGCUGCAAACAGUCACAAUACCAACAACUAGUUUACCCUAACUAUUGUCAUGACAAACACCAGUGUACAAGAUAGAGAUGUUAAGUGAAAAAAGAGAGGACAUGAUGGAAAAAGUGAAAUAGAAUGAAGAGGCGGAUAGGUUAGAAAAAAGCAAGACAGGCAAAACGUUUCCCUGAUGGGUUAAGCUAUUCCACAAUGGCA